UAAAUGUGUGCUGCCAUCUAGUGGUAGAAAGCGAAUAGGCCAACCGGUAGUUUAUUUUCAAAUUCAAAUCUUCACUCAGACUCUGUGAUGAUCAGCUCAACGGCGCAUAUUUCAAUCAUUACUUUGCCAUUUCGCCAGACUUGUCUUCCUGUAAAACCCACAGUAUGGGUAAUAAGGGGUAGAUUUACACCAGGAAAGGACAAUUUCAAGAGUAAUUCCAGGGCAAGAAUUGAAAGAACAAAAUGAAAGGAUCGAAUUUAUUACCAAGAUUAGGCCUACAGUCCCACACUAGCACUCUUGUGUUGGAGAAAUACGAUCAACUUGCUUUGCACUAGUCUACAUGCACUGGACUGCUACUGCUAGCUGCUGGAGCUACUUUAAAGAUCUUCAUUUUGAAGGGUAUCUUAGCUUCGGCUGCUGGAAAGUCAUCAACUUGGACUGUGUGGCACUGGCACCCUUGUCUUCUAGAGUACAUGUACAUACAGUCUUAAUUUGUUAGACUGAACUGUCCAACACACAUCUAGGAAAUGCAAGACAUGGGUGAAAGUAUUAGAAUCAUACAUGGUUAAUGACUUAUUGUUCAUCUGUAAUUAAUGGAAAGCAUUUCAAAAUGAUGCCAAUAAUGCCGUCCAACAAACAUUCAGCAAGUACUUCCAGGU